GUAUUUUUACACAUAAGAAGCUAUACUAAGAAAUAAGGGAAUACAAUUUUCAAUUAUAUUUUAUGUUAAUUUUAUUUGUCAUUUUAAACGUAGAUAAUGUCAAAAUCAAACUUGAACAAAGAAGUGAGCAUCUGUUUUUCAUUUAUUAACAGCAGACCAGCAUAUAAAUAAAAAAUAUUUUUCCUUUCGCGUGAAUAGUUGCAUUUAUCAUUAGUUGACAUAAAUAUCAUAAAAUUAUUUCAAUAUGAAGAAAAUAUGCUUGUAUGUAUUGUUUUCAUACUUCCACGAAAUGAAUUAAAUUUGAUGAUAAUGCACUUAUCUUUAUAUUCAAGAAAAGAUUGGAUAUAUCGAAGUAAUGCAUACAGUGAAUGACAAUAUGUAUAGAUAUGUUCUAAAUUUUCAUAACAUUAAGAUCAAAUUAUAUCAAGAAAUAAUAUUAAAGGUUACCAACGAUAUUGAAAUUUGUGAAACUUCGUUAGUGUGAAAUCAAAAAUUGAACAAUUUAGCAAAAUAUAAAUAUUUGGCAAAGUUACAAAAUAACAAGUUAUUUUACUUGAUUAAUAUGUUAUACAAUUUAGUAUUUUCUUCGUACUGAUAUUUUGUUCCCAUUGAUAUUGAAUAUGUUAUGAAAAUUGAAAGUUGUUAGAUUUUCAAUAAUUUCAUUUUACUAUUUUAGUUUCAACUACGUUUGUCAUGUAUUGAAUAUAUUACAGACACUGACAAAUCAUCACCAGAAGGGGUACACGCGCUCACAUUUAUAGUGGCUGUGGUCGUCUGUUUUGUUAUGAUUGCUGUUGUAAUUGCUACAAAAUACAUACUGCUUAGAAGAAAGAAAUGUCAUAAUGUACAGGCAGGAUCGACAGGUACAAGACCUUCAACGGAAAUGACAAACAAUCCACCUACAUCGACAACAAGACAAGAUCCGAUGUACAUCAAUGUCGCUGAAUCUAGCCUCAAUGAUCUACCAUCAGAUCACGUUUAUGAACCAUUAAGAAAAUAACAAAUACGCGUAAAACAUUCAUAAUUCACGGUCGUUUUUUUUUUUUAAAGAAAAUGCACAUUUUUCUACAAAACUAGAAGUGAACUUUAAAAAGCAAAUAUAGUGUUUUUACAGCUUUAGUUUGUGUUAAUGUACGAACUAGGUUAUCUAAACAAUUUUAUAGAAUAUGUGAAUUACAAUUCGUUCUGCUUGUGUUAUAAUUUGAAUUUUAUUAUAGUUGUUAUCCAUUAUUUAUCGCAUGGUUUCGAACGUUUUCUUUGUUCUUACUAACCCAUUAUACUCAGUACACUUUCAAUGAGCAUUUAUAUAGCAGUUGAUUUUUUUUUUUGCACCUUGCAUAUAUCAGUGUAGUUUUUUCACAGAGGUUCCAAUCCAAUGGGGCUGGGGUAACGAACAUUCCCAGUAGCAAAAGAAAGAAAAAGAGAAACAAUGUAUAUAUUUUUAUUUUUUUAUUUCGCUGAUUUCUGUUACAAAACAAAAAACAAUAAAACAACAACAACAAAAAGAAAACAUUAUGCCAUUGCGAUAAAACAAUUAUAGUAUAUGGAAAUCGUUAGUUACGAGGAUAUAACACUGGCUGGGUAACAUCUCGGGAUGUUUCUGCAAGAAAAAUGUCUCGGCCUGACGGCCUCGCCAUUUUUUUUAGCAGAAACAUCCCUUGAUGUCGCCCCAGACAGUGUUAUAUCCUCGAAACUGCCUCGUUUCAUAUACUAUAACUAUUACAUUUUGUUUAUAAUUCAUUUGAUGUAUAGAAUGCAUAUUUUUUCAUUUAUUUAUUUCUGUUGCUACAUUGAUUAGUUCUUAGGAAAAACUGCAUGUAUAUAGAGUUUAUCUUACAGUACAUGGAGCUUGUUACUCAGUUGAUAGAUCGAUGGGUGGGUGAGUGAGUGAGUUGGUGAGUGAGUGAGUGAGUGAGUGAGUGAGUGAGUGAGUGAGUGAGUGAGUGAGUGAGUGAGUGAGUGAGUGAGUCGGUCGGCAGGUAGAUACAAUUGAGUUAAUGCCGUCUCUCAGUUCUCUCUGGGAUUUUUUCUCCGUCAAUUAUAUACAAAUGUAUAAGUGUAUUGAUUUUAUUAAAGUGUUCAUGUUCCAAAUAUUUUAUAAUGUUUUUUUUUGUUUUGUUUUUUGGUAUGGUGAAUUGAUAUCAUGAUAUUUUUUUUCUAUAGAAGGUUGAUUUAUGUAUGAAAUUAUGUUGGAUUGCCACUGAAGAAAAUUGAAAAUUGGAAAAUAGGAUAUGUACGAUGUCCUUUUUCGUCCAAAGAAUUUCGCUAGUAAACAGGCGAUAAUCAUCC